AUUGAACGCUGGCGGCAUGCCUAACACAUGCAAGUCGAACGGGGGUAGCGAUACCCUAGUGGCGGACGGGUGAGUAACGCGUAGGAAUCUGCCCCGUAGUGGGGGACAACCUGGGGAAACCCAGGCUAAUACCGCAUGAGCUCGGGAGAGGAAAGCGGGGGACCUUCGGGCCUCGCGCUAUGGGAUGAGCCUACGUCCGAUUAGCUAGUUGGCGGGGUAAGGGCCCACCAAGGCGAUGAUCGGUAGCUGGUCUGAGAGGACGAUCAGCCACACUGGGACUGAGACACGGCCCAGACUCCUACGGGAGGCAGCAGUGGGGAAUAUUGGACAAUGGGCGCAAGCCUGAUCCAGCAAUGCCGCGUGGGUGAAGACGGCCUGCGGGUUGUAAAGCCUUAGGCGGGGAGGAACGGCGUCGUGCGAACAGUGCGGCGUUCUGACGUUACCCGCGGAAUAAGCACCGGCUAACUCCGUGCCAGCAGCCGCGGUAAU
rnacentral:rRNA from 1 species